UUUCAUUAUUUUAACGUGCUGUAAAAUAAAUUUUGGACUAUUUAAUAACUAAAAGCACAAACAAAACAAACAACAACGAUCCGAGUAGUCGUUACCAAAGACGUAAAAAAAAAAAAUCAAAUCGUAAUCAAAUUGUAAACAGUUCUCUCUCUCGUUCCGUUCACUCCUCCGUUUGAUUUAAUUUUUGUUUUAACAAAAAAAUAAUACACAUAAAAAAGAAAACCAAAGAAGGAAAAUUUAUAUUGAAAGGACACGGAAAAAUGGCAGAGACACAGGGUAUAAAUAUAAACGAGCGUUUCCAACGCUUUGUGAAUGGACUCAGCGAUAGAUAUGAGCCAUAUGUACGCCAGCAUCUGUCCAAGGUGUAUAUGGUCUUGGGCAGCACCUCGGCGGCCACAGCAAUCGGAGCCGCAUGCCAGAUGCGAGAUUAUCUAGAUCUUGGCAUAUUGGCAGCUAUUGCCACAUUGGUCCUGGUCUUGGGUCUCCAUUUCUACAAGGAUGAUGGCAAAAACUAUUACACACGCCUCAGUAUGCUAUAUGCAUUUGGCUUCUGCUCUGGCCAGACAUUGGGUCCACUAUUGGGCUAUAUUGCCAGCAUUAAUCCGGCCAUUAUCCUGACUGCCCUCACCGGCACCUUUGUCACAUUUGUAUCCCUCUCCCUGGCCGCUCUAUUGGCUGAGCAGGGCAAAUAUUUGUAUCUAGGUGGUAUGCUGGUGAGCGUCAUCAAUACCAUGGCCCUUUUAAGUCUCUUCAAUAUGAUCUUUAAAUCAUAUUUCGUUCAAGUGACUCAACUUUAUGUUGGGGUAUUCGUAAUGGCCGCUUUUAUUGUCUAUGACACCCAGAAUAUUGUGGAGAAAUGUCGCAAUGGCAAUCGGGAUGUUGUCCAACAUGCCCUGGAUCUGUUCUUUGAUGUGUUAAGCAUGUUCCGCCGUUUGCUGAUUAUCCUGACACAGAAGCUCAAAAACUUUAUGGUCUAAACACCAUGCAAAUUCCAAAAAUGAAAAAUCAUUAUCCUUAUUUGCCAUUGGAAACACUUUGCAAAAGUUUUGACAGACGCAAAAUUCCAAAAAAAAAAUAUUCCUUCUUUUGUGAAAUCAAACGGAGGAGCGAAAACAAAAUGAACGCCGCAAGAGGAACUAAGGCCAUAGUAACAACAUCUCUACUAAGCCCUAUAUACUAUCCAAUCAUCACCACCACCACCAACAACAACAACAACAACAAAUUGGCCAUAGAAGCAAAACCCGGUCUUAUGGCCAAGAAGAGUAAACAAAAACAAACCUAAAAAGAGAGAAUUAUUGUUUUUGCAAAUUACAUUUCUCCAAAAAUUUUAAAAAUAGAGCCGUGUAUAUUUUGGCUUUAAAUUACAUAUACAUUCAAGUUACACCACAUACAUAUAUACAUAUAUAAUAAUGAGUGAGCCACCCCGCCCCUCUACCAUCCUCCUUUAAUGGAGAAAAAAGCAGGAAAAGAAAAAGGGGCGGCCCUCUCCCACAAUCCCUCAACUGUUUAUAUCCAAACAAAAUUGAAGAAUAUAUACACUACACUAUGAUGAUGUUGUAUAAAGCAAAAAAAAAAAAAAGUAAUAAUAAAUUGAUUGAGUUGAGUUGAUUA